rnacentral:lncRNA from 1 species
UAGUCUAGUACGUGACUAACUUUGAUAAGCUUCAAUUAAGGCCUUAAUUGGGUGUGACGGAGUCAAUUCUGUGGUGGCAAACUGGCUUGGGCUUCAGAAACCUGUCUAUUCUGGGCGCUCUGCAAUUAGAGGCUUUGUUGAGUAUCCGGAAAAACAUGGUUAUCAGCCUAAGUUCCACGCGUAUUUUGGAGGUGGAGUUCGGUUUGGAUUUCUUCCUAGUGAUGAGAAGAGUUUGUACUGGUUUUGCACAUUCACACCAUCUGUUGUUCAUUGUAAGCCACCUCCUACAUACUGUUUCUUUUGAAGAUUUACUUUUUGAAGGAUAUUUUUGUUGGCUAGAGAGCUUACCUCUAUGAAGGGGGAGCCUUGACGUAAUUGGUAAAGUUACUGUCAUGUGACCUAGAGGUCGCGGAUUCGAGCUGUGGAAACAGCCUCUUGCAGAAAUGCAGGGUAAGACUGCGUACAAUAGACCCCUGUGGUCCAAGCCUUCCCCAAACCCUGUGCAUAGCGGGAGCUUAGUGCACCGAGCUGCCCAGAUAGCUUACAUUUCAUAAACUAGUCAUGUUUAGUUGUUCAUUUUAAUUGGGAUUUUAUGCAGUUGAUGGAAAUGCAGAACAAGAUCCAAUGAAAUUGAAGCAAUUCGUGUUGAACAAGGCUAGUAAUGUGUCUAAAGAACUCUCCACCAUUAUAGACAGAACUACGCUCGACUGUAUAUCUAUCGCUCAGCUGAAAUUGAGGUUGCCAUGGAAUGUUCUGCUUGGGAAUAUUUUGAAAAAUAACGUUUGCGUGGUAGGUGAUGCACUUCAUCCCAUGACUCCUGAUCUUGGUCAAGGUGGAUGUUCUGCUUUAGAGGACAGCGUUGUUAUUGCAAAGUGCCUCGGAGAAGCCUUGAUAAAACCGAUAACAGAACAAGAAGACGAUGAAUCUACGAAGAUUAGAAAAGGACUUGAGAAGUAUGCUAAAGAGAGGAGAUGGAGAAGUUUUACAUUUAUCAGUGCUGCUUAUUUAUCUGGUUUCAUACAAGAGAGUGAUAACAAGAUAAUCAGUUUCUUAAGACAACAUUUUUUGGCUGGAGUUACUAUAUCAGUUACACUAAGAAUAGCUAACUUCGACUGCGGAAGAUUAACUGUUUCUUAGUAGCUCAAUUGGAUCUUUUAGAAGCUAUGAAUACCCUUUAUGGACUUUGUUUAGUAUCUAUCUAGCAUACAUGUUCUGGUUUAGCUGUGUUUAAGAAUUGUAAUACCGAAACGGAUCCUUAUUUUGCAAUAAUAAAAUACAAGUUGUGAGCAACCAAUUGUGUCCUUCAUCAAAGAUAUCCAACAACAUCAGUUGUUUAGAAGUAUUGAACAAGUGUUUUCUUAUCUGAGAUCAUUUCGUGCAAUUAGAUACUACUCCCUAUGUUUCAACGACUUGAUACGAAGUUUAACAAAGUAAAUAAGACUUUUGUACCAUGGACCGCUACUUGGUUCAAUGACUUCCAAUUUCCACAAGGGAUCAUUGUUUUGUUACAUACUCUUGAGUAGAUGUAGGAGGAAAUGCAGGAGUCAAAUCAUGUCUUUAAUUGUUUUUUUUUGUUUUUUUUUGGAUUUCUCACUUGACUUGUCAGGCAAUAGUAUCUCUCAUUGGAAAUUUGUUACAAGUUCUGCAGCAAAAUUUUCUACCGUUUGUCUUACAUAAUGGGAUCAAUUCACAUUGUCUUAGGUGACACACACGGCAGAGAUAGUCGAUGACCUCGAAAUGAAAAUAACAUUUAGAUGGGGUACAAGCACCCCCAUUCUUUUGUUUGUUUUUUCUCUCUAUUAGACUACUUUACUUUGAUUUUAUAUCAAUUUAUGAAUGUCGUAAGUAUGUAUUUUUAAUUGAAAUUUGCUAGUAACUAAACCUUAAAAUUUAUAGUUAUUAGCGUGAAAGGAAUUAAAUUUAACAUUAAAAUACGACCCUCAAUUGAUGUUUCUGGUCAUAGUACUGUUAAAAAAUUACUUAUGAUUGUUACAUUUUAUUAUUCAUUAUAGGCUUAUUUUCACAGAAAUUACACAAGUGUAACUCAUAAACUAGUAUAUAUAUAUAUAUAUAUAUUACUAAAAGUGGGAAGAAUCUAAAGCAAAAAUUAGAUUGCGAAAAUACCCUUAAGUAUUAAUUUAUUUUCUUAAAAAUCUAUUUUUAAAAAUAGUCUUUUUAUUUAUUUAUUUUUAAUAUUUUAUAAAAAAUGAAUGUGUCAAUUACUACUCAUUUAUAUAUUUAUAUUCUGUAAUAUAAACAUUUAUUUGCCUUUAUUUCAAUUAUUCACAUGAAUUUUGAUUAUUAUAACUCCUAUAUUAUAUUAAUAGUCAUGUUCAUAAUAUCAUUUGAUAUUCCAUAUUAUUGUCCUAUAAAUAGAGAUAUUAUAAAGGUGCAAGUAUUACACAAUUUAGUUUGACUUUGCUACUUCUCCACCAUUGGUUAUGAGGGUGACACAUAUUCCCAACUUGUGAAUCAUUUAUGUCUUGAAAUAUGUACCAUUCAAUUGCUCAUUUGAAUUUGAACAAAUAAUUUUAUAAAACAGAGUAACUUUAGCUAAAUAAUUAUAAUGGAUAAAUGAAUAGAGUGUUUGAUAAAUAUGAUAGUAUUUAUGCGUUGCACGUUUAUUUCUAUUUUUUAUUAUAAAGUUUGUAAAAUAAAAUAGUAAAUAAAAAAAAAAGCACUUAAAAAGCUACACAACUUGUAAAAUUUAUGGUCACCAAAGCAAGAAUUAUUAUCAACCAUACAAAGACUCAAAUUUUAAAAUUUAAAGUCUUAUCGUGUAUAAUAAUUUUUUAUUUGUAGUUAUUUAUUUGUUGAAUAGGAAUUAUACUAGAUGCAUAUUAUAAUUGUACAUAUAACCACAUAUUUAUUAUCUCAUUACACAUAAUACCUAUUAAGCUAAAUUUAAUUGUUUAAUUUUGCAAGUUUAGAGUACAUUCUCUAAUAUUUUGUAUGUAUUGAACAAUCAAGUCAUUUGUGUAGACUAAUUAUUUAUCAAAUUGAACUUGUACUUCUUUCUUCUGAUUUAUAUACUCAUUAUACACAUGUUUUAAUAUUGCCUUAUAAUUUCAAAAAAAAAUCUAUACAAAUUGGGACACACGUGCUCAAAAACUAGUUCUAAAAAACAAGCUAAAAGAAAGACGUAUCUACAUUUGAAGUUCGAUUUUCGCCUAUUUUAUAUUCCGACAUAUUCAUUCACUUUGACUUAAAGGGCGUGUUUUGCGUGGUAGGUGAUGCACUUCAUCCCAUGACUCCUGAUCUUGGUCAAGGUGGAUGUUCUGCUUUAGAGGACAGUGUUGUCAUCGCAAAGUGCCUCGGAGAAGCCUUGAUAAAACCGAUAACAGAACAAGAAGACGAUGAAUCUACGAAGAUUAGAAAAGGACUUGAGAAGUAUGCUAAAGAGAGGAGAUGGAGAAGUUUUACAUUUAUCAGUGCUGCUUAUUUAUCUGGUUUCAUACAAGAGAGUGAUAACAAGAUAAUCAGUUUCUUAAGACAACAUUUUUUGGCUGGAGUUACUAUAUCAGUUACACUAAGAAUAGCUAACUUCGACUGCGGAAGAUUAACUGUUUCUUAGUAGCUCAAUUGGAUCUUUUAGAAGCUAUGAAUACCCUUUAUGGACUUUGUUUAGUAUCUAUCUAGCAUACAUGUUCUGGUUUAGCUGUGUUUAAGAAUUGUAAUACCGAAACGGAUCCUUAUUUUGCAAUAAUAAAAUACAAGUUGUGAGCAACCAAUUGUGUCCUUCAUCAAAGAUAUCCAACAACAUCAGUUGUUUAGAAGUAUUGAACAAGUGUUUUCUUAUCUGAGAUCAUUUCGUGCAAUUAGAUACUACUCCCUAUGUUUCAACGACUUGAUACGAAGUUUAACAAAGUAAAUAAGACUUUUGUACCAUGGACCGCUACUUGGUUCAAUGACUUCCAAUUUCCACAAGGGAUCAUUGUUUUGUUACAUACUCUUGAGUAGAUGUAGGAGGAAAUGCAGGAGUCAAAUCAUGUCUUUAAUUGUUUUUUUUUGUUUUUUUUUGGAUUUCUCACUUGACUUGUCAGGCAAUAGUAUCUCUCAUUGGAAAUUUGUUACAAGUUCUGCAGCAAAAUUUUCUACCGUUUGUCUUACAUAAUGGGAUCAAUUCACAUUGUCUUAGGUGACACACACGGCAGAGAUAGUCGAUGACCUCGAAAUGAAAAUAACAUUUAGAUGGGGUACAAGCACCCCCAUUCUUUUGUUUGUUUUUUCUCUCUAUUAGACUACUUUACUUUGAUUUUAUAUCAAUUUAUGAAUGUCGUAAGUAUGUAUUUUUAAUUGAAAUUUGCUAGUAACUAAACCUUAAAAUUUAUAGUUAUUAGCGUGAAAGGAAUUAAAUUUAACAUUAAAAUACGACCCUCAAUUGAUGUUUCUGGUCAUAGUACUGUUAAAAAAUUACUUAUGAUUGUUACAUUUUAUUAUUCAUUAUAGGCUUAUUUUCACAGAAAUUACACAAGUGUAACUCAUAAACUAGUAUAUAUAUAUAUAUAUAUAUUACUAAAAGUGGGAAGAAUCUAAAGCAAAAAUUAGAUUGCGAAAAUACCCUUAAGUAUUAAUUUAUUUUCUUAAAAUCAUUUUUAAAAAUAGCUUUUUAUUUAUUUAUUUUUAAUAUUUUAUAAAAAAUGAAUGUGUCAAUUACUACUCAUUUAUUUAUUUAUAUUCUGUAAUAUAAACAUUUAUUUGCCUUUAUUUCAAUUAUUCACAUGAAUUUUGAUUAUUAUAACUCCUAUAUUAUAUUAAUAGUCAUGUUCAUAAUAUCAUUUGAUAUUCCAUAUUAUUGUCCUAUAAAUAGAGAUAUUAUAAAGGUGCAAGUAUUACACAAUUUAGUUUGACUUUGCUACUUCUCCACCAUUGGUUAUGAGGGUGACACAUAUUCCCAACUUGUGAAUCAUUUAUGUCUUGAAAUAUGUACCAUUCAAUUGCUCAUUUGAAUUUGAACAAAUAAUUUUAUAAAACAGAGUAACUUUAGCUAAAUAAUUAUAAUGGAUAAAUGAAUAUAGUGUUUGAUAAAUAUGAUAGUAUUUAUGCGUUGCAUGUUUAUUUUCUAUUUUUUAUUAUAAAGUUCGUAAAAUAAAAUAGUAAAUAAAAAAAAAGGCACUUAAAAAGCUACACAACUUGUAAAAUUUAUGGUCACCAAAGCAAGAAUUAUUAUCAACCAUACAAAGACUCAAAUUUUAAAAUUUGAAGUCUUAUCGUGUAUAAUAAUUUUUGAUUUGUAGUUAUUUAUUUGUUGAAUAAGAAUUAUACUAGAUGCAUAUUAUAAUUGUACAUAUAACCACAUAUUUAGUAUCUCAUUACACAUAAUACCUAUUAAGCUAAAUUUAAUUGUUCAAUUUUGCAAGUUUAGAGUACAUUCUCUAAUAUUUUGUAUGUAUUGAACAAUCAAGUCAUUUGUGUAGACUAAUUAUUUAUCAAAUUGAACUUGUACUUCUUUCUUCUGAUUUAUAUACUCAUUAUACACGUGUUUUAAUAUUGCCUUAUAAUUUCAAAAAAAAUCUAUACAAAUUGGGAUACACGUGCCCAAAAACUAGUAUAUGGAUAAUGAUGAUUGAUUUGUAAGAACAGAACAUUUUGUUAUUUGCUGAAUACAAAAAAAGAUGUGGCUUGUUAACUGGUCAUGUUAUCGGAUUGGACCUUAGUUGCAGUCGGCUUGGUGGAACUAUUCAUCCCAAUAGCAGCCUCUUCCAACUCCAUCAUCUCCGGACACUAAAUCUUGCUCACAAUGACUUCAAUUUUUCUUCAAUCCCACAUAACAUUGGCCGAUUGACGAAUUUGAGACAUCUCAACCUUUCUGGUUCUUUGUUUGAAGGGGAAAUCCCAACAGAAAUCUCAUACCUUUCCAAUUUGGUUUCACUUGAUAUGAGUAACAAGUUGUUAGAAGUGACUAGUACUCAUCCAUGGACCGCUAGUUGUGUAUUUAGUGAUGCCAAAGUUGUAUUAUUUUCUCUCAAUUUAUGCCAAAGUUGGAAAUAGACUUAUGAGGGGGAAAGUACCCCAUUUUAUUUGUCUAGAUAUCUUUUCUUUCUUUAAUUUAAACCACACACUUCCAUAUACCCAGUGUAAUUCCUUAAGUCAGGGUUUAAGAAAGGUAGAGUGUACGGAGACCUUAUCUCUAUGAGGUAGAGAUAGAGAGGUUGCUUUCGAGAAUAAAAUACAAGUUGUGAGCAACCAAUUAUGUCCGUCAUCAAAACUACCCAACAACAUCAGUUGUUUAGAAGCAAAUAUGGUAAUUGGUAACAGCUUAAAGGUAAAUCUGAAGUAUUUUUUAAGUGUUGGCUUAUCUGAGAAUUAGAUGCUACUCCCUCCGUUUCAAUAUGUCUGAAUGGUUUUGACUUGACAUGGAGUUUAAAAAAGUAAAAAAAUAAUUGUAUCUUGUGGUCUCAAAUUAAAAUACGUAGAAUGUACCAUGAACCACUAAUUGGUUCAAUGACUUCAAAAUUCCACUGUAACAUUGUCUUGUUAAAUCAUGUCUUCAAUUAUUGUUCUUUUUAUUUUUCUCACUUGACUUAGUUAAGCAAUAGUAUCUCUCAUUGGAAAUUUGCUGCAAUUCACAUUGUUUUGCGUAACACACACGGCAAAUAUAGUGGAUGACCUUGAAAUGAAAACAACAUUUAGAGAAAACAAAUUUGGAAUAAUUGGUACUGGCCACCAAGAAUUAAAGACUCGAGUCUUUAUGGAAAUUGACUUAAAUUUGGGACAAAUUUUUUUGCAACCACAAAUUAGUUUGUGGUAGAUGAGGGGCAAGUACCCCAUUUUAUUUGUCUGGAUGUUUUACCUCACAGUCCCAUAGACAAGUCAACAACAACAAUAACAUAUUCAGUGUAAUCUCACAAGUGGGGUCUAGAGAAAAGUAGAGUGUGCGUGAGAGGUUGCUUUCAAUAGACCCUUGGCUAAAAAUAAAGCAUGGCCAAGCAUUUUGAAAAAGGGAAUACAAAAGUAAAAGUAAUAACAACAAUAAAAUAAUAUGAAAAGAAGAGUAGUACAACAUACAGAUGAAUGAAUAAUAUGACAAUAAAAUAAAGCGAUAUUCGAAGCACAAAAUACACAGGUGAUACUCGGGAAAAAAAAACUACGAUCGAAUAUAACACAUGAUAGACAAGUCAACAACAAUAAUUGCAUAUUCAAUAUAAUUUCACAAGUGGGGUCUAGAGAGAGUAGAAUUUGUGCAGAAAUUACAGGAGCGUAACUCAGAAACUAGUAUAUAUAUAUGGAUAAUGAUGAUUGGUUUGUAAAAACAUAACAUUCUAUUAUUUGCUGAAUACAAAAAAAAAAAAAAAAAGAGAAAAAAGAUGGGACUUGUCUUUUUCUUUUAUUCACUAGUCUGUUUUUUGUCGGUAAUUAGUGAAAGUUUUUCUUCUUCCUCUGUGAUGAUGCAUCAUGUUUGCUCUCCCACUGAAGCUUUUGCUUUGCUUCACUUCAAACAAUCCUCUCAAAUCUCUGACCAACCUAGAUGUUGGGAUGAGACUGAUCUGCAAUAUGAGAGAUAUUUUGAUAUCCCAAAAACAAAGUCUUGGAAUGAGAGUAGGGAUUGCUGCAGUUGGGACGGGGUAACUUGUGACAUGUUAACCGGUCAUGUUAUCGGAUUGGACCUUAGUUGCAGUCUGCUUUUGGGUACUAUUCAUCCCAAUAGCAGCCUCUUCCAACUCCAUCAUCUCCGGACACUAAACCUUGCUUACAAUAACUUCUAUUCUUCUUCAAUCCCGCAUAACAUUGGCCGAUUGAGGAAUUUGAGGUAUCUCAACCUUUCUCAAUCUUUCUUUGAAGGGGAAAUCCCAACAGAAAUAUCAUACCUUUCCAAUUUGGUUUCACUUGAACUUUUUUGUUACGGAUGUGAACUUGAUGAGAGAACAUUUGAAACAAUUCUUCACAACUUCACAAAUCUGGAGGUAGUUUCUCUCCUUGGUGUCAACAUCUCAUCUUCAAUACCUGUGAAUAUUUCUUCAUCCUCCUUACGGUACGUGGAUCUUGGACAUACUAAUCUGCGAGGUGUUAUCACAGAGAGCUUUUUCCUUCUGCCAGAAUUGGAAAAUCUCAAAUUGAAUGGAAAUGAUCUUCUCAAAGGAGUUUUACCAAAGAUCCACCCGAGCAACACUCUGUUGGAGUUGGAUAUUUCCUACACAGGAAUCUCCGGUGAGCUGCCUGAUUCAAUUGGCACCUUGAGUUCAUUGAAUCUCUUGAACAUGUAUAGAUGCCAAUUCUCUGGUUCCAUUCCUGAAUCCAUUGGCAAUCUUACACAAAUGCGGAAAUUGAAUUUUGGAAAUAAUCAUUUCACCGGCCAUAUUCCUUCCACAAUCUCUAAAUUGAAGCACCUCACAUUUCUAGGUCUUUCGUCCAACUCCUUUUCAGGUGAAGUUCCCGACAUUUUUUCUAACCUCCAAGAGCUACGUACUUUAUAUCUUCGUAACAACAGCUUCGUUGGUUCGUUUCCUUCUACAAUUGUAAGCUUGACACAUCUUCAAGACUUAGAAUUGUCGAGUAAUUCCCUAUCUGGCCAACUGCCUAUUAAUGUGAGCAUGCUUCAAAAGCUAACCAUAUUGGAUCUGUCGUACAACUCACUGAAUGGUACCAUACCAUCUUCGGUGUUUGGCCUCCCUUUGCUAUCUUCAUUAUUGCUCCAACAUAAUCAAUUUAGUGGACUAGAUGAUGAGCUCAAAACAAACCCAACAUUAGCACACCUGGGUUUAAGCCAUAAUCAACUCAGUGGUUCUUUGCUUCAAUCACUUUCGAAUCUCACAAACCUUUCUAUGCUUGACCUUUCAUCAAGUAACAUCACCGUUCAUGUGGGAAAACAAAUCACUUUUCCUGGCCUAGAAGUUUUGCGGUUAUCAUCUUGUGAACUAAAGGAUUUUCCACACUUCUUGAGAAAUGUGAAGACACUUUGGCUCUUGGAUAUUUCUAACAAUAAGAUUCGUGGCCAAAUCCCAAAACUGGUUUAGCGGCAUAAGGUGGGACAACUUGUGGUACCUAAACCUUUCGCAUAAUUCUUUAACAGGCCACCUACAACAAUUUCAUUUCCAUAAUCUAGAGUAUCUUGAUCUUAAAUUUAACUUCCUUCAGGGUCCACUACCUUCAUCCAUUUGUAUCAUGAACAAUUUUCAAUUUCUAGAUUUAUCACACAACAACUUCAGUAACUCGAUUCCAAGUUGCUUGGGAAGCAUGACUAGUCUAACAGUGUUGGACUUAAGAAAGAACAAUUUCACAGGGAGUCUUCCAUCGUUAUGUGCGCAGAGCACUUCAUUGAGAACCAUUGUCUUGAAUGGUAAUCAAUUUAAAGGAACUCUCCCUGUGUCGUUGCUCAACUGUAGUGGUUUAGAAGUUCUUGAUAUGGGGAAUAACGCUAUAAAUGACACAUUUCCUGCUUGGCUAGGAACACUUCAACAACUGCAGGUCUUAAUAUUAAAGUCCAAUGUGUUCCAUGGACCAAUUAGUACUUGUCAGACUACGUUUUGCUUUCCCAAGUUGCGAAUUUUUGAUCUUUCGCGUAACAAAUUCAGUGGCUCACUCCCUGCAAAAAGUUUUUGCAAACUUCAAGGCAAUGAUUAAAUUAGAUGGUGAAGACACAGGAUAGAUCAAGUACAUGAAACCAUCUGAUGAUCCAUUUGACACAUCGUAUGAGGAUUCAGUGAGUUUGGUGAUCAAAGGCCUGGAUAUUGAGCUAGAAAGAAUCAGCACAAUUAUGACAACCAUAGACCUCUCGAGCAACCAUUUUGAAGGUGUCAUUCCGAAAACACUAAAGGAUCUCAGCUCACUUUGGCUACUCAAUUUAUCCCGUAACAAUCUCAUAGGUGAUAUUCCAAUGGAAUUGGGGCAAUUGAAUAAGCUUGAAGCGUUAGAUCUCUCUUGGAACCGGCUCACUGGAAAGAUUCCGCAGGAAUUGACAAGGCUAACAUUUCUGGAAAAGUUAAACCUUUCUCAGAAUGUUCUCGUUGGACCAAUUCCUCACGUUCUACAAUUCAACACAUUUGAAAAUGACUCGUAUGGCGGUAACCUUGAUCUAUGUGGUCCUCCUUUAUCAGAGCAAUGUGGAACGAGUGAUCUAUCCCAUGUUCCUCAACCAUUGGAGUCUGAAGACGAAUCAUAUUUUUUUAGUGGAUUUACGUGGGAAUCAGUAGUCAUAGGCUACAGUUGUGGACUAGUUGUUGGAACUGUUGUGUGGAGCCUCAUGUUUAAAUAUCGUAAGCCAGAAUGGUUUGUCGAAUUUUUUGAAGGCAUUUAUCCCAAGAAAAUGAGAAUGUCAAUGAAGAGAGCUCAGAGACGACGGACUUGAUGGAAGAUUGCAAGAGUGGACUUCUCUGUUUUUUAAUUUUCUUUUUGUUGUUUGUAUAUGUUUGAUAGCAAUAUAAUUGCAUGUGUUAUUUUGUGAAUUUCCACUGGAUUAAAAUUAGUGUUCUUGAUCUUUGCUUUCAAACUAAAAAAUUAAACUCAAAAUAAAAACAAGAGGACAUAAAACAUAACUUUCCUUUUUUACUAAAACAAUUUAUUCAAUUACUCUUGAGUUUAAUCAACUUCAACAUGUUUGGUAAUAUCAUCUCAAAUUAAUAAUACUAAAAAUGAUGGAUUUAAGAUCAUUCAAAUCCACAUAUAAAUUGAUUAUUGUAUAAUGGCAAUCCUCAUGCCUUCACUUAAUUGAAAGAAUGAGCCAAAGCUGUCAUGACAUGAGCUUGGUCUGAAAUAAUUUGUGUAGUUGAAGGAUUUUGUCCCAAAACAAUACAAUAACCAUCAUCAUAAUUCUCCAUUCCAUGUGCCAUUAGUUGCCAUACUAAACUUCCUCCCAUUGUUCCACCUUCUUUUGCCAAAUUAUACACAUUUCUAUAUACACUACUCAUAAAUAUAUCUCUUGAUCCUUGACCUCUACUAGACUUUCCAAAUUCAGCAAGCACUAAAGGUUUCUUUAAUAUAUUUCUUGCAUCUUCCCAAUGACUUGUUAUCCACUUUUCCAUCCACACCAAUUGUGCUUCAUCACUUUGUCCAGAUACCCUAUAACGAUCGAUAUAAAGAAAUAUUUAGACCUAUAUAAUGAAAACAUAUGAAAUUGUAUGUAGGGAAAAGAUGUAAAAACUACCAUUGGUCAGUGUAUGCAUGGAUAGUAGCAAAAUCAAUUUCAUUGAUAAGAUGGUUACUAAUGAUUUGAUAUUUCUAAAAUUCAAUUAAUUAAACUUGAAUUGGGGAUUACAUUAACAGUUUUUCCUGAAUAGUCAGCUUGAUCGCGAGGCUCAUUCAUGAGUUCCCAUUCCAUAAUUGUUGGAUCAUCUUUGUAAGCAACUUUAUUAAUACUAUUCAACCUUGUAACCACUUUCUGUAACAAUUUCGUAAUAUUAUUAAUUAAAAAAGUUGUUUAUAUGUAUUAAAUAAUAAUUACCCCAUAUAUACCUCAAUGUGGUUCUUCAAGUAUUUUUUGAGCAUAGGAUGAGUAUAGAAUUCAUCGUCAUUACUAAUUUGAGCUCCUGCAUUUCGCGCCCACCAAACAUAUUGAGCUUUUCCUCCAAAAAUCGUUUCAUUGAUUUACAAAGCUCAAGAUUAAACGAACACCAUAUUUCUUAGCUUCCGCGAUCACAAAAUCCAAGCCCUAAAUUUAGAAACAAUUAAAAUAAGUACUAUCUAAUUAAGAGACUCAUCACAUGCAUUACAAUGCAAUAAUGUAAAAGAUAUCAAAAUUAUAAUAAUAAACCUUUACCUGAAAAACACGUUCAUCAUAAACGCCAGGUGAUAUUUGUAAUGCUCUAUCACCUCCAUCACUAAAAGCCCAAGUACGACAAACAGAAAGACCAGAGGUAGAAGCAUCUUUAAGAACCUCAGUGCCUUUGUAUCUCUCAGUAGGGUCAGCAGCAACAUGCAUCAACCAAUAUGAGUUGAAACCAUUGAAUAGAAAAGGGGAUCCAUUGAGUUCAAAAUGAGAAUCCUUAACUCCUAUAAACCCGGAAUUUGCUUCACAAGCAAGAGCUAAGAACAAGAGAAAGAGCCCAGAAAUGCAACUUCUUUUUGUAUAAGACAUUUUGUUUAGUGAAUUAUAGAAGAUAUAUGUGUGCUAUGUUAGAUGACACCUUUUAUAGUGUGUUGAAGAUAAGGAAAUUUACUAAAAUUAAAUUAGCAAAACUUACAAAAACUAAAAAAAAUUCCUAGUGGAUAUAAUUGGAUAUUGAGAUUUGAUGAAUUUUUUUAAAAAAAUUAGUUAUUUGGUUAAGAUAGAAACAAAGUUCUGUUGAAAAAAUUGUAUGGGGAGAAAAGAAGAAGAAAAAUAUGGAAACAUUAAUUGGUUUGUUUUUUUUAAGGUUUGUUCACUAUUAGAUUUGAUGAUGAAAUAAUAUUGAAACGUGUACUCAUUGUAUUUUUUAUAGUAAUAUACUUGAAUAUUUCUAUGUGGAUGUGUUAUGUGUGUAUUUUAAUCUUAUUUUAUUGCAAGAAAUUGAGCCAAAAUAAAAAUAAAAAUACUUUUAAAAAAAGUUUAAAAGAGAAAUAAAGAGGGCAUAACAUUAUUUGGGAAUAAAAUAAUUUUUUUGGAAGAUAUAUUCUUAAAAAAAAGGUGAGUUUCUUAUUUAUUUUUUUGGUAUGAAUAAGUGAAUUUCUUACUUAUUUUCUGGUAACAUAUUUGGGAUCUUUGAUGUUUAGUUUAUGCUAAUUUGACAAAUUUCAUAGUCCAUAUGUCCCAAGUAUCAUUUUGGAUGAAGUCGUCAAAGACGACUUUAAACUUAGAAUAGGCAAAUUUAAAAUAAGUGUGAUCUUAUUAUACGUGGAGGCGGAUGCAAUGGUUUAAUUAUGAGUUCAAUCGAACUCAAUAUUUUUGUCACAUAACAUAUAUGUAAUGUAGAAGUCAAAAACACAAAAAUAAAAAGAGAUUCUAUAUUCAUAAUUAAAAAAAGUACAAUUAGUUCAGUUUAAAUUCUAAAUUCGACUCAAACUAUAUGUAUAUAGAGUUGUAAGUUGAAAACAAUAGGUUCACUUCUACUCAGAACUCGCCCUGAAUCCGCCUCUGGAAGUAACCACCUAUUCCACGGCUAUGGAGGAAAAAUUGAAAAGAUCGUCCCCAAAAUGCUAUUAUAUACCAAUAUAAAGUAUGAUUUGACGUAUACAGUGUAAUUUUUCGACGAAGAGUGUUCAGAGAAACCACAGAACACCGUAGCUCCGCCCAUGAUCCCUGUAAGCAACCACCUAUCCGGUCGUUAACAUAUUAACCUAAAAAAAAUAUAACCUGAAGUUACAAUUGAUAUUAUUCUAUUUUGUCAACUGGAUUUUAGCGUUAUUGUUGUUUCUCGAUCUAUAUUACUGUUUACUACUUUGUCAACCCUUUAGUUACAUUUUUGAAUUUCUUUUUCUAGCUGAAGUUAAAAUAUACUAUCAGUGUGGAGGGAAAUAGCAUUGAGAAGAUGCAUACAUACUUUUCUUUAGCAACUUGAGUCAUUGCAAACAAUGCAAAAUCUCCGCAGAUGUUGCGGUUGCCAAAAAGUUAAAUAGGCGAUUUCGUUGUGGGAAUGUUGUUGAAAUUAUAUUUUCGGAUGUAAUCCACUGCAUAAAAAUAGGAGCCAGAACCCUUGAAGCCAUAGGGAAGCACUGUUAUGUCUCACUAGUUUGCAUCGAACAAUGCAUCCCCUUAAGGUUACUGACAAGCUAUCUCAAGUGGAUGAAGCUUUGUCAAUAGCCAAUAUAAUGACAAAUCUCAAGCAACUCGAGCCUCCCUAGAUGUUGGUUGGUAUAAAAAGAAAAUUGAGGUCGUUAAAAACUGCAGACAUCUUGAGCUACUAGAUGUAAGAGGUUGUUGGAAUGUGAACCUGAUGAAAAUUUAGUGAAGAAAUUCCAUCUUAUAGGUGGUUGAUGCAAUUGUCAUAGAUUGCUAUAAUAGGAAUAGCUGGGACAAUUGUUCUAACUAUUCAAGUUUUUUGUCUAUGUACAAUGGGAUUUUGUGGUUGGUGAAGCGGAUGACGACGAAUUUGAUGAGAUGUCCGAUGUGUAUUGGGGGGAUGAUCAAGAUAUGGAGGAUGUAAAAAUGUGGUGUAAUGAUGACUUAAAUGAUGUGGACUCUGGAUAUGAUUGGCUGCCAUCUCCUUGAGGUUUGCUUAUAAAAUUCUACUUAUUCAAUUUCCAGAAGUUUUGAAAUACUUCUCUUCUCUAUGUUAAAUGCCUAUGCUUCUCUAUGUUAUAUAUGAAAGUUUGUCCGCUCUCUACAAUACAAGGUAAAUGCGAGUUAUGUGUCUUGUGUACCUUUUUCCUCUUUCUUUGUUCUCUUUUAUUACUUUCUUAACUGUAUGUAUUCAUAUAACAAUAUUUUCAUGCUAUCUACAUGUUUGCUACAUUUGAGUCGAGGGUCUUUCAAAAAAUAGUCUUUCUUCCUCCACGAGGUAAUUGUAAGGCCUACAUACACUCUACCAUCCCCAUACCUCAGUUGUGGGAUUCCAAUGAGUAUGCUGUUGUUUCUUAGCUUGUGGUUCUUUGAGGAGUUCAUGCUUUCAUUUGAAUUUUCCAUCUGGUUGUUUGUUUCUCCUUUUUAACUCUACUGCUGAUUUUUUAAACUAAAGUUAUUCUACUCCAUCUUGUGGUUUCCAGAUUUUCUGUUCUUUUUGUUUUUGUUUGAGCUUCUUCUUAAUCUGCUUCGUCAGCUUUCUAAAUUCAUGUAUGAGCUAGUAAAAGAAACAAAGUCUAGCAGAAGAAAGUUAUGACGCCAUAUCUAAAUAGCUUGAGUCAUGGAAAAGUGUCCCAUGACAGUUUUGUUGAGUUCAUGUGGUAGUUCUAGUUUAAUUUUAAAUUCUUAGAGUCAAAGUUCUAUUGUUGUGCUACUUAAUUAUGUUGUCUUAAUUAAUGUUUUGUUUUCCUAUGAUUUUUCAUUCUUUUAUCUUUUUUUUGUGCAGGGAGAGGGAACAAUUUUUGAAUUGAUUAUUAUCAAUGUGGUUUGUACAACAUUAGCCUGAUUUAUUUCAUUCAUUAUUAUAUUGUGUUACCAACAGUUUAGCUUUAAGAAACUUAUGAAAAGUGAAUACAUGUCAAAUGACAUGGAGAAAGCUUAAAGAUUGGUAGGGUUCAGUGCUUGUUACCUUUUACUAUAAUGCUUCUUAUUAGUCCUUUGUUAUAAAAGUUUAAUUAAUGCACCGGAUAUAGGGUAGUAGAGAUUCAUAUAAAAUUGUGCUUAAAUAGCCUUAACACUACUAAUAUAUAUCUUAAAAUAAUAAGCUUCACAUUUGAUGUAGUCUUGGUACUCUGAUUAAUUUGAAUUGAUAGUGUAUUAUUGUCGAAAUAACUAGGGUGUCCUACUCUAGUCUCUUUUUCAGCUGUCAUUUUGCUGGAUUUCUGUUUGUUUUGGGGUAUUUUUAACUAUCUCAGAUCUUUUCCAGAGUCUUUUAAUCAAAUCUGAUGGAAAUUUGCAUGAGCUUGCUAAAGUAUUAAGUUUAUGAAUGAGUUGUUUUGACAUACUGAAAGGUAAUCAUAAGUUAGAUUUGAAAUUUGAUUUUUCCUUUGUAAUUAUAGCCUCGGUUAAUCAAUCUCUUUGGUGCUUUAUGGUUAUCUAAAUUACAUAAUAUCUUUUUAGAAUAAAUAAGCUUUUUUGCUUCCAAUUUAUGUCCAGAUAAUGUGUAAAGUUGAUGACUGAUCCUUCCUAGUAAUUCUGGUUCUCAUGAUGGAUAAUUCCUUUAUUGAUGAUCUAAAACUCUAGUUAAUGAGAGGCAUAUAAACUGUGUUGUAAUUCUUUUAGUUACACCUUUUAUAUCUAUGGCAUGUCUAUUAACAUUUAUUCUUAUGUCUUUGACAUUUUCUUACAUCUAGAUUUAGAUUCAUUUAUUUGAAAUAUAUGCAAUUUUGUUUGGCAGAAAGACGUGUUUAGUUAUAUAAAUAAUGUGGAUCUCUUAAAAUUCGGAAACAUACCCACCUUAUUUCCAUGAUUAUUUAUGCUUUGAAUUGAACUAAGUUAUAUUCUUUUUUUUUCUGCAGCUUCUCAACACCUGAUUGUUCAAAAGAUCCUACAAGAACCUGUCAUUGAAGAGAGUAUAUAGAGCUGAUAUUAGCGACUAAAUGUUUAUGAACAAGAGAGAUACAUUCAUAUUUUUUCAGUUAUUUAAAGAUGUCCUCUUCUAUACAUGUCAUGGUUCCUUCUUUUUCUACAAUUGUAAUGUUGUAGAAGUGAGAUUGAUAUAUCUUUGAUAAUAAUGCUUAGUUCUUCGUAAUAAACUAUGAAAUAUUUUAUGAGUAUUGAUUAUAUAGUACAUUUUCAGAUGUAUUUAUAUAUUAAGAGUGUGGGCCUACAUAUAAAACACUAAUGUAGAUUGGGUUAGUUUUUGUAAUUAAUGAUUUUUAAUGAUGGGAAUAACAAUUUACGAAAGGAAUAUUUUGUUGUCGCUAAAACACUUUUAACGACAGAGCCUUUAACGACCGGCAACAACUGGAAAUUUUCCGGUUGUUAUUGACUAAUGACAACGGGAUCAAGGCUUUUAGCGACCGGAUUUCCUCUCGUUGAAGACCUAUUUUCCUGUAGUGCCAAGGUAAAUCUUUCUCAGAAAUCCUUAACUUUGAAUCCAUAUUAUUGAAACUUUGACCAACGUGAUAAUUCAAACGUGUAUUUGACCAUUAUCUCAAUUCCUUUUGUUAGUCCAGUACGUGACUAACUUUGAUAAGCUUCAAUUAAGGCCUUAAUUGGGUGUGACGGAGUCAAUUCUGUGGUGGCAAACUGGCUUGGGUUUCAGAAACCUGUCUAUUCUGGGCGCUCUGCAAUUAGAGGCUUUGUUGAGUAUCCGGAAAAACAUGGGUAUCAGCCUAAGUUCCACGCGUAUUUUGGAGGUGGAGUUCGGUUUGGAUUUCUUCCUAGUGAUGAGAAGAGUUUGUACUGGUUUUGCACAUUCACACCAUUUGUUGUUCAUUGUAGCCAGCUCCUACAUACUGUUUCUUUUGAAAUUUUACUUUUUGAAGGAUAUUUUUGUUGGCUAGAGAGCUUACCUCUCUGAAGGGGGAGCCUUGACGUAAUUGGUAAAGUUAUUGUCAUGUGACCUAGAGGUUACGGAUUUGAGCUGUGGAAACAGCCUCUUGCAGAAAUGUUGGGUAAGACUGCAUACAAUAGAUCCCUGUGGUCCAGACCUUCCCCGAACCCUGUGCAUAGUAGGAGCUUAGUGCACCGAGCUGCCCAGAUAGCUUACAUUUCAUAAACUAGUCAUGUUUAGUUGUUCAUUUUUAAUUGGUAUUUUAUGCAGUUGAUGGAAAUGCAGAACAAGAUCCAAUGAAAUUGAAGCAAUUCGUGUUGAACAAGGCUAGUAAUGUGUCUAAAGAACUCUCCACCAUUAUAGACAGAACUACGCUCGACUGUAUAUCUAUUGCUCAGCUGAAAUUGAGGUUGCCAUGGAAUGUUCUGCUUGGAAUAUUUAGAAAAUAACGUUUGCGUGGUAGGUGAUGCACUUCAUCCCAUGACUCCUGAUCUUGGUCAAGGUGGAUGUUCUGCUUUAGAGGACAGUGUUGUUAUCGCAAAGUGCCUCGGAGAAGCCUUGAUAAAACCGAUAACAGAACAAGAGAUGAUGAAUCUACGAAGAUUAGAAAAGGACUCGAGAAGUAUGCUAAAGAGAGGAGAUGGAGAAGUUUUACAUUUAUCAGUGCUGCUUAUUUAUCUGGUUUCAUACAAGAGAGUGAUAACAAGAUAAUCAGUUUCUUAAGA